GACGAACGCUGGCGGCGUGCUUAACACAUGCAAGUCGAACGGAAAGGCCCCUUUGGGGGUACUCGAGUGGCGAACGGGUGCGUAACACGUGAGUAACCUGCCCUUGACUUCGGGAUAACUUCAGGAAACUGGGGCUAAUACCGGAUAGGAAUCCUUGCUGCAUGGUGGGGGUUGGAAAGCUUCGGCGGUUUUGGAUGGACUCGCGGCUUAUCAGCUUGUUGGUGGGGUAGUGGCUUACCAAGGCUUUGACGGGUAGCCGGCCUGAGAGGGCGACCGGCCACACUGGGACUUAGAUACGGCCCAGACUCCUACGGGAGGGAGAAGUGGGGAAUAUUGAACAAGGGGCGGAAGCCGGAUGCAGAAACGCCGCGGGCGGGAUGACGGCCUUCGGGUUGUAAAACGAUUUCAGCAGGGGCGAAGCUUGUGGUGACGGUACCUGCAGAAGAAGCACCGGCUAACUACGUG
rnacentral:rRNA from 1 species